UACGAAGGGGGCUAGCGUUGUUCGGAUUCACUGGGCGUAAAAAGUGCGUAGGCGGUCAGAUAAGUCUGAUGUGAAAUCUUCGAGCUCAACUCGGAAACUGCAUCGGAAACUAUCUGGCUAGAGGAUUGGAGGGGAGACUGGAAUUCUCGGUGUAGCAGUGAAAUGCGUAGAUAUCGAGAGGAACACCAGUGGCGAAGGCGAGUCUCUGGACAAUUCCUGACGCUGAGGCACGAAAGCUAGGGGAGCAAACAGG
rnacentral:rRNA from 1 species